CCCUACUAAAGCCAAGGUUAGACUGAGGAGAGCAGAGUGCCGACCACCCUACUAAAGCCAAGGUUAGACUGGGGAGAGCAGAGUGCCGACCACCCUACUAAAGCCAAGGUUAGACUGGGGAGAGCAGAGAGCCGACCACCCUACUAAAGCCAAGGUUAGACUGGGGAGAGCAGAGUGCCGACCACCCUACUAAAGCCAAGGUUAGACUGGGGAGAGCAGAGUGCCGACCACCCUACUAAAGCCAAGGUUAGACUGGGGAGAGCAGAGUGUCGACCACCCUACUAAAGCCAAGGUUAGACUGGGGAGAGCAGAGUGCCGACCACCCUACUAAAGCCAAGGUUAGACUGGGGAGAGCAGAGCGCCGACCAUCC
ensembl:lncRNA